UACGGAGGGUGCAAGCGUUAUCCGGAUUCACUGGGUUUAAAGGGUGCGUAGGUGGGCAAGUAAGUCAGUGGUGAAAUCUCCGGGCUUAACCCGGAAACUGCCAUUGAUACUAUUUGUCUUGAAUACUGUGGAGGUCAGCGGAAUAUGUCAUGUAGCGGUGAAAUGCUUAGAUAUGACAUAUAACACCAAUUGCGAAGGCAGCUGGCUACACAAAUAUUGACACUGAGGCACGAAAGCGUGGGGAUCAAACAGG
rnacentral:rRNA from 1 species